UUGGGUACCUCGGGGGGCCAUAUGGCUGAGAUGCGCAAGCGGACCCGUUGAACCUGAACCGGUUAAGACCGGCGGAGGGAAGGUCCGGCAUAACGUC
rnacentral:ncRNA from 2 species